GACGAACGCUGGCGGCGUGCUUAACACAUGCAAGUCGAACGGAAAGGCCCUGCUUUUGUGGGGUGCUCGAGUGGCGAACGGGUGAGUAACACGUGAGUAACCUGCCCUUGUCUUUGGGAUAACUUCAGGAAACUGGGGCUAAUACCGGAUAGGAGCUCCUGCUGCAUGGUGGGGGUUGGAAAGUUUCGGCGGUUGGGGAUGGACUCGCGGCUUAUCGGCUUGUUGGUGGGGUAGUGGCUUACCAAGGCUUUGACGGGUAGCCGGCCUGAGAGGGUGACCGGACACAUUGGGACUGAGAUACGGCCCAGACUCCUACGGGAGGCAGCAGUGGGGAAUAGUGCACAAGGGGCGGAAGCCUGAUGCAGCAACGCCGCGUGCGGGAUGACGGCCUUCGGGUUGUAAACCGCUUUCGCCUGUGACGAAGCGUGAGUGACGGUAAUGGGUAAAGAAGCACCGGCUAACUACGUG
rnacentral:rRNA from 1 species